rnacentral:rRNA from 1 species
UGGGGAAUAUUGCACAAUGGGCGCAAGCCUGAUGCAGCCAUGCCGCGUGUAUGAAGAAGGCCUUCGGGUUGUAAAGUACUUUCAGUCGGGAGGAAGGUGGUAAGGUUAAUAACCUUAUCAAUUGACGUUACCGACAGAAGAAGCACCGGCUAACUCCGUGCCAGCAGCCGCGGUAAUACGGAGGGUGCAAGCGUUAAUCGGAAUUACUGGGCGUAAAGCGCACGCAGGCGGUUGAUUGAGUCAGAUGUGAAAUCCCCGGGCUUAACCCGGGAAUUGCAUCUGAUACUGGUCAGCUAGAGUCUUGUAGAGGAGGGUAGAAUUCCAUGUGUAGCGGUGAAAUGCGUAGAGAUGUGGAGGAAUACCGGUGGCGAAGGCGGCCCCCUGGACAAAGACUGACGCUCAGGUGCGAAAGCGUGGGGAGCAAACAGG